GCCGGGGUGGUGGAAUUGGCAGACACGUACGUUUAAGGGGCGUAUGCUUUACGGCAUGCGGGUUCAAGUCCCGCCCCCGGCA
rfam:Elusimicrobia bacterium RIFOXYB2_FTLL_48_7 rifoxyb2_full_scaffold_4839, whole genome shotgun sequence.